ACGAACGCUGGCGGCAUGCCUAACACAUGCAGGUCGAACGGACCCUUCGGGGUUAGUGGCGCACGGGUGCGUAACGCGUGGGAAUCUGCCCUUGGGUACGGAAUAACUCAGCGAAAGCUGUGCUAAUACCGUAUGAUGUCUUCGGGCCAAAGAUUUAUCGCCCAAGGAUGAGCCCGCGUUGGAUUAGCUAGUUGGAGAGGUAAAGGCUCACCAAGGCGACGAUCCAUAGCUGGUCUGAGAGGAUGAUCAGCCACACUGGGACUGAGACACGGCCCAGACUCCUACGGGAGGCAGCAGUGGGGAAUAUUGGACAAUGGGCGAAAGCCUGAUCCAGCAAUGCCGCGUGAGUGAUGAAGGCCUUAGGGUUGUAAAGCUCUUUUACCCGGGAAGAUAAUGACUGUACCGGGAGAAUAAGCCCCGGCUAACUCCGU
rnacentral:rRNA from 1 species